rnacentral:lncRNA from 1 species
UAAUGAUAUGGUGAGUAGUGGUGAUCAUUGCAACGAUGAUAGUGGGUUUAUUAUUGAUGAUCCUUCAUCACUAUAUUAUUGCAAUGCUUCAUCUUUGGGCAUUAACACUUCGAGCACUCUAAAUGUUUUACAUGCAUGUGUUGAUAGUCCUUGGAUAUCAUGUAAAAACUACUUGACUAAAUCUCAUGAUGAUAUGCUUCCUAUAUCUUGUUGCCAUGAUAAAAAUGUAUAUAUUUCCUCGAGUUGUUGUGCUAACAAUGUAUAGGAAAUUCAUCACUCCAUGAAACAAGAUGUGGCCUUGAAUGAUGCUUCAUGGGAU